rnacentral:rRNA from 1 species
CGCCAGCCCGCUCAGAAACUACAAAGGAAUUGAGUGGGCCCGCACAAGCGGUGAGUAUGUGGUUUAAUUCGAUGCAACGCGAAGAACCUUACCUGGUCUUGACAUCCCGGAGACCCUUAGGAAACUAGGGGUGCUUCCAUCUGGAAGAAUCUGGAGACAGGUGCUGCAUGGCUGUCGUCAGCUCGUGUCGUGAGAUGUUGGGUUAAGUCCCGCAACGAGCGCAACCCUUGCCUUUAGUUGCCAGCAGUUCGGCUGGGCACUCUAAAGGGACUGCCGGUGUUAAACCGGAGGAAGGUGGGGAUGACGUCAAGUCCUCAUGGCCUUUAUGACCAGGGCUACACACGUACUACAAUGGCCGAUACAAAGGGCAGCGACACUGCGAGGUGAAGCCAAUCCCGUAAAAUCGGUCUCAGUCCGGAUUGGAGUCUGCAACUCGACUCCAUGAAGUUGGAAUCGCUAGUAAUCGUGGAUCAGCAUGCCACGGUGAAUACGUUCCCGGGCCUU